rnacentral:rRNA from 1 species
AUUGAACGCUGGCGGCAUGCUUUACACAUGCAAGUCGAACGGUAACAGGCCGCAAGGUGCUGACGAGUGGCGAACGGGUGAGUAAUGCAUCGGAACGUGCCCAGUCGUGGGGGAUAACGCAGCGAAAGCUGUGCUAAUACCGCAUACGAUCUAUGGAUGAAAGCGGGGGACCGUAAGGCCUCGCGCGAUUGGAGCGGCCGAUGUCAGAUUAGCUAGUUGGUGGGGUAAAGGCCCACCAAGGCGACGAUCUGUAGCUGGUCUGAGAGGACGACCAGCCACACUGGGACUGAGACACGGCCCAGACUCCUACGGGAGGCAGCAGUGGGGAAUUUUGGACAAUGGGCGCAAGCCUGAUCCAGCAAUGCCGCGUGCAGGAAGAAGGCCUUCGGGUUGUAAACUGCUUUUGUACGGAACGAAACGGUCUGGGUUAAUACCCUGGGCUAAUGACGGUACCGUAAGAAUAAGCACCGGCUAACUACGUGCCAGCAGCCGCAGUAAGAC